ensembl:lncRNA
UGGGUUACCGAACUGCGCCGGCUUCUCCAGUCUUGGCACCGGCGCGACGGCUGAGGUGAAAUCCGGCGAGGCGGAGGUGCGGUCCGGACUGGACGCCACAGACAUCGGCGGGGAGGGGUCCGUAUGACUCGGCAAGGCAACUGGGGAAUCCUUUGGGCAUCUUGGCGAGCGGCAGCGGAAAGGCACUUCGGGAAGGCGGAUGGAGUCUGAAGUAUCCAGCACCAUGGAGAGAGCCAGCGAGGGAUCCAGAUUUAAUCACUGUGGCUGUGGACGCAGCACAACCUCAGCUUCAGCCUUUGUCCCCAAAACUGGGAGCAGAAAGGAACCGGCAAAGGAACAAUGGCACGGUAGAACAAAAGCACCAGAGUUUAAUGAAGUGAUUGGUUUUUAAAUAUAGUUUAAAACGAGUUUGUAUUAAACAGAGCAAAGGAAAACAGCACAUUUAAAGCUGGCUGCUUAUUUAUAUUCCUUCAUUUGUUUGUUUAUUGCCCUGUUGCUUUUUUCUCAUUUGUGGGUCAAAAAUUGACAUUUGUUUUGUACUUUUAGUAAAGAAAACAACACAUUCCUGCCUGAACACAGGCUUUCUUAAAACCUAAACUCGAAUAAGCACAGAAACAACAAAAAGAGAGGAUUUUACAAGAAAAGGUGUGUGAUUGUUUACUUUUUCAUGUUUAUCAAGGCAAGCUUAAAAAUGUCUGUAAUCGUUUUAAAGAAAUGUGUUAAAUGAUAAUCAGUAAGUGCCUGUUUAACUUUUGCCUUUGAUUAGAAAAAUGUUUUGUCUUACAAACGAUAAAUAAUCAUGUUGCUGUUGAUAUUUGUGGCAGUUUUUCCUACAUUGAACAUGAAGUCCAUCUUUAGAUCACACAUCCUCCACCAUAAGUUAGUGGGUCUGUUGGAGGACCAGGAAAUCCACCUGAGAGUAAUCUAAGGGAAUUCUGAAUGACUGCACCUUUUAACAAGCAGAUAUGGUAAAUGGUUUCCUCUAAGCUUUUGGAGAAGAGUUCAGGCUGCAGCAGCUGGAAGAUCAAUGGGAAAAUUGCCCAUUUGUCCAUCAGAGCAAGGCAGAGGUCACUGUGUAGACUUUAAAGUGUACUUUAGAAGGUUGCCCAUGAGACCAGGUUGCUGCGAAAAACCCCGUAAAGUGGAACGGCUCUGGGCUUAAGUCUAAUGGACCUCACGGACUCGCCUGGGAAUGUCCCUGAUGUCAUUUGUACUUUUGACAGCGAUGCUGAUGUCUGCUGGCAGACAAGGACGGACAUUUCCAGGCUUUAAUGACGAGUCUGAGAAGGUUCUGUGGAGCUGAAAUGGUCCUUCUGCAAAAUCUGCACUUAAAGGUAAAGUGCAGAUUGCUGUAGCUGAAGAGAAGGUAAAUACAAACAAAUCAUCAAUAUUUUCUGUGGUGACAUAUUUAACAGUGCAACAAUUUUAAACCAUCAAACAUUAAAUAACUUCUGUAUGUAGAUUUUUCUUUUAUUAAUGACAUUCCUUCUGUCCUGCACUUACUCUGGAGCACAUUAUACCUAUGCCGACAAGAACUCGAAUAGAAAAGAACAAAACAGAAUAGAAUAAAGCUGAGUAGAAAAUAAUAGAUUAGAGUAGAAAAUUUUUAUAUACUAUCUUCCAGAGUCCUAAACCACCACCACCCAUUCAUUCAUCCAUUCACACACACAGUCACAUGCUGGUGGUGAUGAGCUACAGUGUAGCCCCAGCUGCCCUGGGGUGCACUGACAGAGGAGAGGCUCACGAGCACUGGCACCACUGCAGGUAAUGUAGGUGUUUUGCCCAAGGACACAACAGCAGCAUUCUCUGCUGGGACCCGGGAUUGAUCCUACAACCCUCUGAUUGCUGGACAACCUGCUCUCCCUCCUGAGCUACUGCCACCCUUAAAAAGAGAAGAGAAGAGAAGAGAAGAGAAGAGAAGAGAAGAGAAGAGAAGAGAAGAGAAGAGAAGGGAAGGAAGGGAAGGGAAGGGAAGGGAAGGGAAGGGAAGGGAAGGGAAGGGAAGAGAAGGGAAGAGAAGAGAAGAGAAAUGUCUUUUUUGUCCCUCCGUGAUGAAAUUUUGGUGUAACAGUGGCAAAUAAGAUUCACAACGGGAAAUAUAAAAGUCUGUACAGUAAAUUAUGUGCGUGUGUGCAUUAUAUAUAUAUAUAUAUA